CGCCGCGUGCGGGAUGAAGGCCUUCGGGUUGUAAACCGCUUUCAGCAGGGACGAAAUUGACGGUACCUGCAGAAGAAGCCCCGGCCAACUACGUGCCAGCAGCCGCGGUAAUACGUAGGGGGCGAGCGUUGUCCGGAUUUAUUGGGCGUAAAGAGCUCGUAGGCGGUUGGGUAAGUCGGGUGUGAAAACUCAGGGCUCAACUCAGAGACGCCACUCGAUACUGCCCUGACUCGAGUCCGGUAGGGGAGCGUGGAAUUCCCGGUGUAGCGGUGAAAUGCGCAGAUAUCGGGAGGAACACCAGUGGCGAAGGCGGCGCUCUGGGCCGGAACUGACGCUGAGGAGCGAAAGCGUGGGUAGCAAACAGGAUUAGAUACCCUGGUAGUCCACGCCGUAAACGUUGGGCACUAGGUGUGGGACUCUAUCGACGGGUUCCGUGCCGUAGCUAACGCAUUAAGUGCCCCGCCUGGGGAGUACGGCCGCAAGGCUAAAACUCAAAGGAAUUGACGGGGG
rnacentral:rRNA from 1 species